GAGCCGUGAGGAAGAAUUACCUGUGCCAGAGGCAUAUCUCUUGCCGAUGAUGGCUACACAACCCUCUAAGAAGUUCUGAGCUC